rnacentral:rRNA from 1 species
CCUACGGGGGGCUGCAGUGGGGAAUAUUGGACAAUGGGCGAAAGCCUGAUCCAGCCAUGCCGCGUGUGUGAAGAAGGCCUUCGGGUUGUAAAGCACUUUCAGUGGGGAAGAAAGCCUUGGGGCUAAUACCCUCGAGGAAGGACAUCACCCACAGAAGAAGCACCGGCUAACUCCGUGCCAGCAGCCGCGGUAAUACGGAGGGUGCGAGCGUUAAUCGGAAUUACUGGGCGUAAAGCGCGCGUAGGCGGUCUGAUAAGCCGGGUGUGAAAGCCCCGGGCUCAACCUGGGAACGGCAUCCGGAACUGUCAGGCUAGAGUGCAGGAGAGGAAGGUAGAAUUCCCGGUGUAGCGGUGAAAUGCGUAGAGAUCGGGAGGAAUACCAGUGGCGAAGGCGGCCUUCUGGACUGACACUGACGCUGAGGUGCGAAAGCGUGGGUAGCAAACAGGAUUAGAUACCCCGGUAGUC